rnacentral:rRNA from 1 species
GAUGAACGCUGGCGGCGUGCCUAAUACAUGCAAGUCGAGCGAACAGACGAGGAGCUUGCUCCUCUGACGUUAGCGGCGGACGGGUGAGUAACACGUGGAUAACCUACCUAUAAGACUGGGAUAACUUCGGGAAACCGGAGCUAAUACCGGAUAAUAUAUUGAACCGCAUGGUUCAAUAGUGAAAGACGGUUUUGCUGUCACUUAUAGAUGGAUCCGCGCCGCAUUAGCUAGUUGGUAAGGUAACGGCUUACCAAGGCAACGAUGCGUAGCCGACCUGAGAGGGUGAUCGGCCACACUGUAACUGAGUCACGGUCCAGACUCCUACGGGAGGCAGCAGUAGGGAAUCUUCCGCGAUGGGCGAAAGCCUGACGGAGCAACACCGCGUGAGUGAUGAAGGUCUUCGGAUCGUAAAUCUCUGUUAUUAGGGAAGAACAAAUGUGUAAGUAACUAUGCACGUCUUGACGGUACCUAAUCAGAAAGCCACGGCUAACUACGUG